CUUCCCAUUUGACUACCACAAUUUCUCCUCAGAAUAGAUUUUAGUGACUUUGCUUAUGCGAUAAAGUAAAAUCUCCAUGAUCUGGUGAGGAAGACUUUAUUUGUAUCCACCUCUAUAUACAAAUAAAAGAAAAAAGGAAA